UACGGGGGGGGCAAGCGUUGUUCGGAAUUACUGGGCGUAAAGGGCUCGUAGGCGGCCAACUAAGUCCGACGUGAAAUCCCCAGGCUUAACCUGGGAACUGCGUCGGAUACUGGAUGGCUUGAAUCCGGGAGAGGGAUGCGGAAUUCCAGGUGUAGCGGUGAAAUGCGUAGAUAUCUGGAGGAACACCGGUGGCGAAGGCGGGUCUCUGGGCCAUUACUGACGCUGAGGAGCGAAAGCGUGGGGAGCGAACAGG
rnacentral:rRNA from 1 species